CUCACAUUUAUUCUUCUAAUCAAAUUUGAAUUUCAUUUAACAUUGAACUUCAAUUCCAAUUGCAAAUGAAAAUAAUUAACAAUUAUCCAUAUUUCCACAGAUACUUCAUCGAAUUUCUUCAUCAACACCAACAACACCAUUUUGAAGGAAGGCGAAGGAAGCAUUGAAGCAACUUAUUCAUGGCAAAGGUAAAAGAAGAAGCUUCUUCAUUCAUUCAUAUGCAUUUCUAUGGAUAAUACUCACUGUCUCAUUGUGAACUACUACAACUAAAUGAACGAGCGAGCUAGCUAACGAAUCCACAUACAUAUAUGUGUUGUGAAAAGAAGCUGUAACUGCAAUACUUCCUCCAAUUGUCAAUGCAUCGACAACAAAUAAUACAUUGGCUGGACUUGACAAGCAACCACGCAGACUACUAGUAGCCAAGGUAAGGCAAGGCAAGGCAAGGCAUUAGAGUUGAAGACUGACCAAUAGCAAUAGCAAUGGCAAUGGCAAUAGAAAUACCAACACUAAUACCAUUUAGUGGGAUCGAUUUGAACGGAUAUUCUAGUGCAUACAUUGAAGUUGCAGCUGAAAUUGGUGGUGAAGUUGAAGUUGAAAUUGAAGAAAGUAUUGAUGAGACAGCAAGGCAAGGCAACGAGAUGACAAAGGCGAAAGGCAAUUGGCAGUGGCCAUCAAUGGAAGAUGUAAGUGAAAAAGUGAUCGAAUUGUUACGUGAAGGAGUAGUUGUAGUAGAAUUGUUAUUGAUGUUGGUGUUGAUGUUGAUGUUGAUAUUGAUGUUGGUGUUAGCUAUCAAUGUAUAUGCAAUUGUAAAGAGCUGAUGAAGUGAGUGAGCGAGUGUUAGAGUUCCGACACGGUGCAAUAAUGGGAGGCCAUAUGGUGUUGAGCUUUCACGACUACAUGGCUUAUGGCCGUAGUCCGACUAUACCCCCAGAACCACUAAUUAUUCCCGCAACUCCCAACAUUUCGUACUGCUGCUGAAGACUUGGAUGAAUGAAUGCGCAUCUCUACAUCGUACAUCCGGAUUGCCACCUGAACACGCGGAAUUGUAGCCUUUGUUGGAGUGCUAAGUGCUUCGCCUCUGGUAUUUGAUACUCACUAUGUGGAUUAUGCGCCGCAGGCCGGCUAUGUAAGACUGUCUGCAUUGGAGGAAUUGCGCCGUAGGCCGGCUUGGGACGGAUACUUCAUCGAAAUUCUUCAUCAACACCAACAACACCAUUUUGAAGGAAGGCGAAGGAAGCAUUGAAGCAACUUAUUCAUGGCAAAGGUGAAAGAAGCUUCUUCAUUCAUUCAUAUGCAUUUCUAUGGAUAAUACUCACUGUCUCAUUGUGAACUACUACAACUAAAUGAACGAGCGAGCUAGCUAACGAAUCCACAUACAUAUAUGUGUUGUGAAAAGAAGCUGUAACUGCAAUACUUCCACUUCCACCAAUUGUCAAUGCAUCGACAACAAAUAAUACAUUGGCUGGACUUGACAAGCAACCACGCAGACUACUAGUAGCCAAGGUAAGGCAAGGCAAGGCAAGGCAUUAGAGUUGAAGACUGACCAAUAGCAAUAGCAAUGGCAAUGGCAAUAGAAAUACCAACACUAAUACCAUUUAGUGGGAUCGAUUUGAACGGAUAUUCUAGUGCAUACAUUGAAGUUGCAGCUGAAAUUGGUGGUGAAGUUGAAGUUGAAAUUGAAGAAAGUAUUGAUGAGACAGCAAGGCAAGGCAACGAGAUGACAAAGGCGAAAGGCAAUUGGCAGUGGCCAUCAAUGGAAGAUGUAAGUGAAAAAGUGAUCGAAUUGUUACGUGAAGGAGUAGUUGUAGUAGAAUUGUUAUUGAUGUUGGUGUUGAUGUUGAUGUUGAUAUUGAUGUUGGUGUUAGCUAUCAAUGUAUAUGCAAUUGUAAAGAGCUGAUGAAGUGAGUGAGCGAGUGUUAGAGUUCCGACACGGUGCAAUAAUGGGAGGCCAUAUGGUGUUGAGCUUUCACGACUACAUGGCUUAUGGCCGUAGUCCGACUAUACCCCCAGAACCACUAAUUAUUCCCGCAACUCCCAACAUUUCGUACUGCUGCUGAAGACUUGGAUGAAUGAAUGCGCAUCUCUACAUCGUACAUCCGGAUUGCCACCUGAACACGCGGAAUUGUAGCCUUUGUUGGAGUGCUAAGUGCUUCGCCUCUGGUAUUUGAUACUCACUAUGUGGAUUAUGCGCCGCAGGCCGGCUAUGUAAGACUGUCUGCAUUGGAGGAAUUGCGCCGUAGGCCGGCUUGGGACGGGUAAGUGUCAAGAAAAAAUGCGCCGCAGGCGGCAAAUUUUUCAGGGUAUAAGUAGAGGCCCGGCAGAGUGACCAAAUUGGGACGGGUUUGUGUGAAGAAGAAAUGCGCCGCAGGCGGCAAAUUUUUCAGGGUAUAAAUAGAGGCCCGGCAGGUAGACAAAAUUGCUGGUGAGGACCUUUUUUUUUUUUUUUUUUUUUUUUUUUUUUUUUUUUGCUCUUCAUUUUCAUUUCGAGUGACAUCAAAAGUAGGUCUCACAUUUAUUCUUCUAAUCAAAUUUGAAUUUCAUUUAACAUUGAACUUCAAUUCCAAUUGCAAAUGAAAAUAAUUAACAAUUAUCCAUAUUUCCACAGAUACUUCAUCGAAUUUCUUCAUCAACACCAACAACACCAUUUUGAAGGAAGGCGAAGGAAGCAUUGAAGCAACUUAUUCAUGGCAAAGGUAAAAGAAGAAGCUUCUUCAUUCAUUCAUAUGCAUUUCUAUGGAUAAUACUCACUGUCUCAUUGUGAACUACUACAACUAAAUGAACGAGCGAGCUAGCUAACGAAUCCACAUACAUAUAUGUGUUGUGAAAAGAAGCUGUAACUGCAAUACUUCCUCCAAUUGUCAAUGCAUCGACAACAAAUAAUACAUUGGCUGGACUUGACAAGCAACCACGCAGACUACUAGUAGCCAAGGUAAGGCAAGGCAUUAGAGUUGAAGACUGACCAAUAGCAAUAGCAAUAGCAAUGGCAAUGGCAAUACCAACACUAAUACCAUUUAAUGGGAUCGAUUUGAACGGAUAUUCUAGUGCAUACAUUGAAGUUGCAGCUGAAAUUGGUGGUGAGGUUGAAGUUGAAAUUGAAGAAGAAAGUAUUGAUGAGACAGCAAGGCAACGAGAUGACAAAGGCGAAAGGCAAUUGGCAGUGGCCAUCAAUGGAAGAUGUAAGUGAAAAAGUGAUCGAAUUGUUACGUGAAGGAGUAGUUGUAGUAGAAUUGUUAUUGAUAUUGGUGUUGAUGUUGAUGUUGAUGUUGAUGUUGAUAUUGGUGUUGAUGUUGAUAUUGGUGUUAGCUAUCAAUCUGUAUGCAAGUGUGAAGAGCUGAUGAAGUGAGUGAGCGAGUGUUAGAGUUCCGACACGGUGCAAUAAUGGGAGGCCAUAUGGUGUUGAGCUUUCACGACUACAUGGCUUAUGGCCGUAGUCCGACUAUACCCCCAGAACCACUAAUUAUUCCCGCAACUCCCAACAUUUCGUACUGCUGCUGAAGACUUGGAUGAAUGAAUGCGCAUCUCUACAUCGUACAUCCGGAUUGCCACCUGAACACGCGGAAUUGUAGCCUUUGUUGGAGUGCUAAGUGCUUCGCCUCUGGUAUUUGAUACUCACUAUGUGGAUUAUGCGCCGCAGGCCGGCUAUGUAAGACUGUCUGCAUUGGAGGAAUUGCGCCGUAGGCCGGCUUGGGACGGAUACUUCAUCGAAAUUCUUCAUCAACACCAACAACACCAUUUUGAAGGAAGGCGAAGGAAGCAUUGAAGCAACUUAUUCAUGGCAAAGGUGAAAGAAGCUUCUUCAUUCAUUCAUAUGCAUUUCUAUGGAUAAUACUCACUGUCUCAUUGUGAACUACUACAACUAAAUGAACGAGCGAGCUAGCUAACGAAUCCACAUACAUAUAUGUGUUGUGAAAAGAAGCUGUAACUGCAAUACUUCCACUUCCACCAAUUGUCAAUGCAUCGACAACAAAUAAUACAUUGGCUGGACUUGACAAGCAACCACGCAGACUACUAGUAGCCAAGGUAAGGCAAGGCAAGGCAAGGCAUUAGAGUUGAAGACUGACCAAUAGCAAUAGCAAUGGCAAUGGCAAUAGAAAUACCAACACUAAUACCAUUUAGUGGGAUCGAUUUGAACGGAUAUUCUAGUGCAUACAUUGAAGUUGCAGCUGAAAUUGGUGGUGAAGUUGAAGUUGAAAUUGAAGAAAGUAUUGAUGAGACAGCAAGGCAAGGCAACGAGAUGACAAAGGCGAAAGGCAAUUGGCAGUGGCCAUCAAUGGAAGAUGUAAGUGAAAAAGUGAUCGAAUUGUUACGUGAAGGAGUAGUUGUAGUAGAAUUGUUAUUGAUGUUGGUGUUGAUGUUGAUGUUGAUAUUGAUGUUGGUGUUAGCUAUCAAUGUAUAUGCAAUUGUAAAGAGCUGAUGAAGUGAGUGAGCGAGUGUUAGAGUUCCGACACGGUGCAAUAAUGGGAGGCCAUAUGGUGUUGAGCUUUCACGACUACAUGGCUUAUGGCCGUAGUCCGACUAUACCCCCAGAACCACUAAUUAUUCCCGCAACUCCCAACAUUUCGUACUGCUGCUGAAGACUUGGAUGAAUGAAUGCGCAUCUCUACAUCGUACAUCCGGAUUGCCACCUGAACACGCGGAAUUGUAGCCUUUGUUGGAGUGCUAAGUGCUUCGCCUCUGGUAUUUGAUACUCACUAUGUGGAUUAUGCGCCGCAGGCCGGCUAUGUAAGACUGUCUGCAUUGGAGGAAUUGCGCCGUAGGCCGGCUUGGGACGGGUAAGUGUCAAGAAAAAAUGCGCCGCAGGCGGCAAAUUUUUCAGGGUAUAAGUAGAGGCCCGGCAGAGUGACCAAAUUGGGACGGGUUUGUGUGAAGAAGAAAUGCGCCGCAGGCGGCAAAUUUUUCAGGGUAUAAAUAGAGGCCCGGCAGGUAGACAAAAUUGCUGGUGAGGACCUUUUUUUUUUUUUUUUUUUUUUUUUUUUUUUUUUUUUUUGCUCUUCAUUUUCAUUUCGAGUGACAUCAAAAGUAGGUCUCACAUUUAUUCUUCUAAUCAAAUUUGAAUUUCAUUUAACAUUGAACUUCAAUUCCAAUUGCAAAUGAAAAUAAUUAACAAUUAUCCAUAUUUCCACAGAUACUUCA